rnacentral:misc_RNA from 1 species
CUCCAUGCUCGCUUUCGCGGAGACUUGAUUUUCCCCAUCCUCAUUAAACAUGUCCACACUCUUCAGAAAAACCCCUAUAAACCAUAUUGCAGCGGCAAGAAACAGCACAGCUGUUAGAAUAAGUGCUGUUUCCCUCCAAUUGUUGAUGUUAUCCUGUAGGACCCCAACAAGUGGGGAAGAAGGUACAUCACCAAAUAUGUGGAUUGAUACAGUUGAGAUAGCCAUAGAUAAGGGUCUCAAACCAGGUUUGACACAAUGCAGACACACAAAAUUAACUGGAGCCUGAGUAGCAAAGACAAGUAGUUCACCUACAGAAAACAGGACUAUGAAACCAAACAAGCUCCUUAGACAGAAUGCACUGAAGCAAAAGAUUGCACCCAGAAAUGUUGCUCCAGAUAGAAGCUUAAAAGCAUUAGAGAUUGUAGCAUUCAUGCGAUCAAGUAUGAAGCCUCCGGCUAAAGUUCCCAAAAUUCCACAAACAAUUGUAAUCCCUCCAAACAUCAUGUCUGCAUUACUCAUAUGAUAAAUAUUAUAACCAGCUUUUGGUCCCCAGUAUGAGUAUGCUCCAAUAACAAAGUUGUACGAUAUAUAACCUAGAACAUUUACAACAUAAACUCUGUCAAGCAACAGCACUUCAAUAUCCUUUGAAACUUGUGAUAACUGCUGUAAAAUUUUAGCUUUGCCCUUCAACUUUGAGCCUUUAACAGAUGCUUGACUAUUGAUACCUUCAUUAUCAUCCUCUUCAGUUAUAGAAGCAAC